UUGAGCUUGAUCCUGGCUCAGAUUGAACGCUGGCGGCAGGCCUAACACAUGCAAGUCGAGCGGAAACGAUGGAAGCUUGCUUCCAGGCGUCGAGCGGCGGACGGGUGAGUAAUGCAUGGGAAUCUGCCCGAUAGUGGGGGAUAACCUGGGGAAACCCAGGCUAAUACCGCAUACGUCCUACGGGAGAAAGCAGGGGAUCUUCGGACCUUGCGCUAUCGGAUGAGCCCAUGUCGGAUUAGCUUGUUGGUGAGGUAAUGGCUCACCAAGGCGACGAUCCGUAGCUGGUCUGAGAGGAUGAUCAGCCACAUCGGGACUGAGACACGGCCCGAACUCCUACGGGAGGCAGCAGUGGGGAAUAUUGGACAAUGGGCGAAAGCCUGAUCCAGCCAUGCCGCGUGUGUGAAGAAGGCCCUCGGGUUGUAAAGCACUUUCAGUGGGGAAGAAAGCCUUGGGAUUAAUACUCCCGAGGAAGGACAUCACCCACAGAAGAAGCACCGGCUAACUCCGUGCCAGCAGCCGCGUA
rnacentral:rRNA from 1 species